rnacentral:rRNA from 1 species
CGUAGGGUGCAAGCGUUGUCCGGAAUUAUUGGGCGUAAAGAGCUCGUAGGCGGUCUGUCGCGUCGGCUGUGAAAACUCGGGGCUCAACUCCGAGCUUGCAGUCGAUACGGGCAGGCUAGAGUUCGGCAGGGGAGACUGGAAUUCCUGGUGUAGCGGUGAAAUGCGCAGAUAUCAGGAGGAACACCGGUGGCGAAGGCGGGUCUCUGGGCCGAUACUGACGCUGAGGAGCGAAAGCGUGGGGAGCGAACAGGAUUAGAUACCCUGGUAGUCCACGCCGUAAACGUUGGGCGCUAGGUGUGGGAUCCCUUCCACGGGUUCCGUGCCGCAGCUAACGCAUUAAGCGCCCCGCCUGGGGAGUACGGCCGCAAGGCUA